rnacentral:rRNA from 1 species
AUGGCGCUGCUCCUCCCGCACCCUCAACUGGCGCUACCAUCGGCUCUGCUGCACGCGGUCGUGGCGCCGCCGCGAACGCUUGUUGCUCCAUCCGUGAGCUCCGGUGCCGUUGCCCCUGCUCGGUUACUCCGUCGGCCUGCUGGAUUCGGCCGAGCGAAAACCAGACCCCAACUCCGCGCCGGCUCCGCCCGCAUCGCGCCGCUCGCGCGGCUGCGCACCUGCUGCGGCUGCGCCACGCUGCUCGGCCUCUGGCCGGCCUCCGCACGCGUCGUCGCGCGACGGCUCCAUGGGCCCAGCCGCCCAUUGUUUUCGCCUGCAGCACGACGCUCCGCCGCUGCGGGUCGUCUCCAAUCCCCCCACGCCGCGCAUCGGCUCCGCCCGGCCGUUCCUCGCACCUCGGCUCCGCCUCCACGAGCUGCUCCAGGCCCGGCCCUGCCCCCGCCUCCGACCUCCUCCCGCGAGGCCGACUCCCUCAUGCCGCCUCCUCGUAGUCUCGCAGCCGGCGACCUCAAUAGCAGUGGCAAAUCAGCGCCACGCGCGUCCUCCGCCGGGUCCCUGUGGCCCUCGUCCACGCCCGCCUCCUGCGCGCCGACUGCGACCACCCGGCUGGCCUGGCCGACUGGUCUCCUGCGUCGCCUCAAGCUCGCGCGCCGGCGGGCUCCCCGCAUACUGCUCCAGCCUCGGGCCCUCCUCAUCUGCGCCCGUAGAGCCGGCCCCGGCCUCCCGCGCCGCCUCCUCCACUCCGCGACCACCUGCGAUGUCCGCGCAUUCGCCCGCGUCGGCUUCGCGACGCUGCCCCAGGCUCCGCCUCGCCUCGCCUCCGACUGCGCAUCGCGCGCGCGCACCCGCGCCGGCUGCAGCCCCGGCCCGGCCCUGCCGACUGCACCCACGCCGGGCUCCCUCCCACGCCGCCUGCCGGCCAUGUCGCCCGGCCGCCUACUGGCUCUACGCCGACUUCCGCCCGCGUGCCGGCUGGCCAAGGACGGCUCCGGCCCCUACGCGUGCCCCCGUGGCCUCGACCGCCUGCGCCUGCCGGCCUCCACCCCCUGCUCUCUCGCCCGCAAGCCGGCUCCCCAGCCGGGUCCGCCUCCGCGCGCCACGCCCGCCGGGUGCGCNNNNNNNNNNCUGCAGCCCGACCCGACAUCGACAAGACCCCGACGUGGCGGCCAUACCGCGGACGAGACGGCUGUACCUCGACACCAUCAUGUAUAG